UAUAUCUGUGGCUGCGUGGCAAUCUCUGAGGACAUGCACUUACCAGGCUGUCUGAUCACCUUGGCCUCAGCAGACAAGGCUGAAUCAAGAACUACCUACUACAUUCUCCAGGGAGAAGCAAGGUUCCCCUAUGAUCGGAGCUGUCUGCUUACUCAGGUCCAUUAAGGAUCAAACGGAAAAACAAGCAAUGGCUGACAGCGAGUGGAAGAGGUUGAUUGGAAGGAGUUACUGUGACUUUGAGUUAAGGCAAGAAUCGGG
rnacentral:lncRNA from 1 species